UGGCGGACGGGUGAGUAACGCGUGGGUAACCUGCCUUACACAGGGGGAUAACACCUGGAAACAGGUGCUAAUACCGCAUAAGCGCACAGGGCCGCAUGGCCCGGUGUGAAAAACUCCGGUGGUGUAAGAUGGACCCGCGUCUGAUUAGCCAGUUGGCAGGGUAACGGCCUACCAAAGCGACGAUCAGUAGCCGGCCUGAGAGGGCGGACGGCCACACUGGGACUGAGACACGGCCCAGACUCCUACGGAAGGCAGCAG
rnacentral:rRNA from 1 species